UACGAAGGGGGCUAGCGUUGCUCGGAAUGACUGGGCGUAAAGGGCGCGUAGGCGGUUUGGACAGUCAGAUGUGAAAUUCCUGGGCUCAACCUGGGGGCUGCAUUUGAUACGUUCGGACUAGAGUGGGGAAGAGGGUCGUGGAAUUCCCAGUGUAGAGGUGAAAUUCGUAGAGAUGUGGAGGAACACCGAUGGCGAAGGCAGCCCCCUGGGCCAAAACUGACGCUCAGGCACGAAAGCGUGGGGAGCAAACAGG
rnacentral:rRNA from 1 species